GGGAGGGUGGCAAGGAGGGAAGAAGCCCUCCAGCAAGCAACACUUUCUUGAAAACGUCUUAAAAAAUGUAUUUUUCAAACACAGGGACUGAAGGUGAACUGGAAGAAUAUAUCCAAGACCACAAGCCCAGUUCUCUGAAGGAUGGCUCUCUGGAAAGAACGUGUGAGCCUGUGCACACGUGGGCAAGAUGGAUAACUGGCUUCCGGCAGAGGAGUAGCUGUCAGAAGAAGCAAACUUAGCAGCGUGAAUGGAGGAGGUGGGACCCAUAUUGGUGAGUCCAUGGAAUAGGUGUUUUCCUAAGAUUCUUUCCUCUACACGUCUCAUGGUUUUACUUCUGACAUUUCAAUAAUGCAGUUUUCAAUUAUGUAUUGCGUCCUCUGUUGGCUUUUCAUCACCAUCUUUUCCACUGUCAUGUUAUCAUAUUACUUUAAGUCUGUUGAAAGGGUGCCAUUUUCGUAGAGUGUGCCUUGGCAAGAAAGUGUUUUUCUCUAACCCCGUCUCAGAGGUCUUGCUAUGAUUUUGUCUUUCCCCUGGAAUUAUGAAAAGUGCAUUUUAAUAGUGAAGUCAUAUGGUUUAUAAGGCAUAGCCACAUACCUUCCAUUCCUUGUCAGAGUAACCCACACCAUCCUUCCACCUCCUUCCCAUUCUAAGUGACUUCUGGGCAGGUCCACUGGAAACUAGUAGAGAAAAAAAACGUGGGUAUAGCCAGCCUUUGCUGAUUGAUUAUUUCAUACUUGUGAAACAAUUUUCUGUACCAAUUAUGUCUUUGCAGAUGACAGAAGCCAUUUAGUCUAAUGACCAUAAUAAUUAAUUUUCAUUAUGAAGCAGAUUGGUUAAUGAUGCUGAAGCCUAGAUUUCAUUAUGGAACUAAAACAUAAAACUCGCCCACACUCCCAGAACAUAACUUUCAAGUUUGUUAAAUCAGGGAGUAAACGCAAUCAUUACUUUUCUUAUAAAGUCAGCUGAGGCAAAGUUAGGAUGGAAGGGUGAAGGGCUGUCACAGAGGUUAGUUUUUUGCUUUUGUUUUUGCAUCAGCUACGCUUCUCAAAAAGGGGUUCCUGACCUGUAGCGUCAGCAU
rnacentral:lncRNA from 9 species